ensembl:snRNA U6 U6 spliceosomal RNA
GUGCUCGCUUUGACAUCACAUAUACUAAAAUUGAAACAAUACAGAGAAGAUUAUUGUGGUCCCAGUGCAAGGAUGACAUGCAAAUUUGUGAAGUAUUCCAUAAAUUU